rnacentral:rRNA from 1 species
GGGACACGUGGUAUCCUGUCUGAAUAUGGGGGGACCAUCCUCCAAGGCUAAAUACUCCUGACUGACCGAUAGUGAACCAGUACCGUGAGGGAAAGGCGAAAAGAACCCCGGCGAGGGGAGUGAAAAAGAACCUGAAACCGUGUACGUACAAGCAGUGGGAGCACGCUUAGGCGUGUGACUGCGUACCUUUUGUAUAAUGGGUCAGCGACUUAUAUUCUGUAGCAAGGUUAACCGAAUAGGGGAGCCGAAGGGAAACCGAGUCUUAACUGGGCGUUAAGUUGCAGGGUAUAGACCCGAAACCCGGUGAUCUAGCCAUGGGCAGGUUGAAGGUUGGGUAACACUAACUGGAGGACCGAACCGACUAAUGUUGAAAAAUUAGCGGAUGACUUGUGGCUGGGGGUGAAAGGCCAAUCAAACCGGGAGAUAGCUGGUUCUCCCCGAAAGCUAUUUAGGUAGCGCCUCGUGAAUUCAUCUCCGGGGGUAGAGCACUGUUUCGGCAAGGGGGUCAUCCCGACUUACCAACCCGAUGCAAACUGCGAAUACCGGAGAAUGUUAUCACGGGAGACACACGGCGGGUGCUAACGUCCGUCGUGAAGAGGGAAACAACCCAGACCGCCAGCUAAGGUCCCAAAGUCAUGGUUAAGUGGGAAACGAUGUGGGAAGGCCCAGACAGCCAGGAUGUUGGCUUAGAAGCAGCCAUCAUUUAAAGAAAGCGUAAUAGCUCACUGGUCGAGUCGGCCUGCGCGGAAGAUGUAACGGGGCUAAACCAUGCACCGAAGCUGCGGCAGCGACGCUGAUGCGUUGUUGGGUAGGGGAGCGUUCUGUAAGCCUGCGAAGGUGUGCUGUGAGGCAUGCUGGAGGUAUCAGAAGUGCGAAUGCUGACAUAAGUAACGAUAAAGCGGGUGAAAAGCCCGCUCGCCGGAAGACCAAGGGUUCCUGUCCAACGUUAAUCGGGGCAGGGUGAGUCGACCCCUAAGGCGAGGCCGAAAGGCGUAGUCGAUGGGAAACAGGUUAAUAUUCCUGUACUUGGUGUUACUGCGAAGGGGGGACGGAGAAGGCUAUGUUGGCCGGGCGACGGUUGUCCCGGUUUAAGCGUGUAGGCUGGUUUUCCAGGCAAAUCCGGAAAAUCAAGGCUGAGGCGUGAUGACGAGGCACUACGGUGCUGAAGCAACAAAUGCCCUGCUUCCAGGAAAAGCCUCUAAGCAUCAGGUAACAUCAAAUCGUACCCCAAACCGACACAGGUGGUCAGGUAGAGAAUACCAAGGCGCUUGAGAGAACUCGGGUGAAGGAACUAGGCAAAAUGGUGCCGUAACUUCGGGAGAAGGC